rnacentral:tRNA from 2 species
UGGGGGAUCGUCCAGUGGUAGGACACGUGGCUCUGGACCACGGUACAGGGGUUCGAAUCCUCUUCCCCCAGCCA